rnacentral:lncRNA from 11 species
GCUUGGUGUUAUAGGAAAAUACCACAGGUCACGGGUGGAGCACCUGCUUUGCAUGCAGAAAGCCCUGUGUUCAUUCCUUGCGAUUACUAAUUAAGAAGGAUCAUAUAACUGAUAGAGGAAAACAGCUCUGGUUGAGAUAAUGGCCAAAGUAGAAAAGUCUAAACUAUGUGGAGCAAUGCAGCUGAUCUGGCAAAAGGUGCAGCAUCCCAACAGCUGGUCCCUUGCAGCAAAGGAGGCCUCAGCCACUAGCAGAUGGGUUGUUAGCAUCAUUGACAAAUGUCAACAUCUGUCCAGUGCAGAGAAAGAGCUCAAGGCCUCCAAAGCCUAGGUUGGUCUGGUGUUCUCUACAGAAGACAAUCCUCUGUUUGAAGAACUAUCUAAGGAGCAGCUAAGAAGGGACCCUGACAAAUGGAUUGGUAGUUCGGGAAGGCUCUGCAUCCAGCUCUUCCAUUAAUGAAAUUCAAAAGGAAGUCCACCUAGAAUGAAAGGGUUGCAAUAUGACAGCAGCUGGUUAUUCCCCUGUGGGAGAGAGUGCUUACAGGGCAACCCAAGGAAGGAUCAUGUCAUUGGUGUGCCAAAUGCAUGAAAAAUUUGCAUGACUGACUACUACCCAAGCUGGAAAAUUAAUUAUUUUUAUUCCUAUUGCCCUCCCCCAAUCUUUUCAGCCACGACAUUUGAAGUAGGGUGAAUAUUGGCUUGUAGCAGGGAUUGCCUUCAUUGAAUUUGCAGUUCAUGAAUGAUAGACUUUGCUCAAGAGGUUUUUGCAGCUCCAUGGUAUUAAGCAUGGGAGCAUAACUUGCAAGACUCAAGGUGAAACUUCUGUUCUGUCAAGAUGUUUCUUGAAAAAACUUGGACAAGUUUAGUUGUUUUGUUUUUUGUUUGUUUGUAUAGGCUUUGUUUUAAUAUGUCUACAUAAAUAAUCAUUAAGAGUGUGGGGAAAAU